GACGAACGCUGGCGGCGUGCCUAACACAUGCAAGUCGAACGGAGAUAUAAGAAUCAGUUUACUGAAUCUAAUAUCUUAGUGGCGGACGGGUGAGUAACGCGUGGGUAACCUACCCUAAACACCGGGACAACAGCUGGAAACGGCUGCUAAUACCGGAUAAUCUCUUGAGAUGGCAUCGUCUUAAGAGGAAAGGUGGCCUCUUCUAUGCUACCGAUUAAGGAUGGACCCGCGUCUGAUUAGCUAGUUGGUAAGGUAAUGGCUUACCAAGGCGAUGACGGGUAGGGACCUGAGAGGGUGCCCCCCCANAAUGGAACUGAAACACGGUCCAUACACCUACGGGU
rnacentral:rRNA from 1 species